ACAGAUGGUUAAUCGGGGCCGAGUUUUAAAGAUAAGGCAUUCUGGAGCAGGGCAGAUGGAGGCAAGAAAGGCCCGAUAUUCUGUGAGCCCAUCAGCCCAUCCUGUGCACUCUGCAGGUGCAGGACCCGUUUGGGAGACACUGGCGAGGUGUGCAGAGGGACGGCCAGACUGGGAGAGGGGACACGGUUGUGUUUACCGUGAUAAUCCAGGUGGGACAAUCAAGUCAGUGUUUCCUCUCCCUCUUCAGGAUAGUCAAGGAAAGGAAUGGUAUGGUUCCCUGCCCUUUCAGUUCACAAGUUUGUUGCCCACUGAUGCUCCAUGAAUAAAGCUGGAAGGAAGAUCUUACUUUGGGAGUAGAGCAAGGAAGACCUGGAAGGGGGAAAACCAGGAAUGUAGAAGCCCCAAGAAUUCCUAUUUCAGGACUCCGUUCUUCGGGACAUUUUUGCCUGAUGUAAAGAAACAUUGUCGCACCCAACCAACUUCACUGGUGUGCCGCUCCCCGGCCUGAGCUGGAAUUCCUCAUAGAAGCAGCCAAGAGCACACUGACCAUCUGUGACAUCAUAUUACUCUGCAUCUGGACCCAAGUCCAAGGUCUAUCUUCUUACAGAGUCCAUUUCUCCUUUUUAAGAGAUCUUUGCUUUUGCAGGAAAACUAAGGAUAUUACCUGGGUCUUAGAAAAGCAGGCAAGUGAAUGUAUGUGGGGGCUGUGAUAUGUGAACUUUCCUAAAAAUGACAUUAUUGAGCAAUUGGAAACGUGUUAAUUCCAGCUUUCUUCCACGGAUUUUGUGUGUGUGG